rnacentral:rRNA from 1 species
AUACGGAGGGUGCGAGCGUUAAUCGGAAUUACUGGGCGUAAAGCGCACGUAGGCGGCGCACGCAGUCAGAGGUGAAAGGCCUGGGCUCAACCCAGGAACUGCCUUUGAUACUGGUGUGCUAGAGUCCGGGAGAGGGUAGCGGAAUUCCCAGUGUAGAGGUGAAAUUCGUAGAUAUUGGGAAGAACACCGGUUGCGAAGGCGGCUACCUGGACCGGUACUGACGCUGAGGUGCGAAAGCGUGGGGAGCAAACAGGAUUAGAAACCCGAGUAGUCC